GGAGAGGUGUCCGAGUGGUUUAAGGAGCUGGUCUUGAAAACCAGUGACUCCGCAAGGGGCCGUGGGUACUCCGCAAGGGGCCGUGGGUUCGAAUCCCACCCUCUCCGCCA
rnacentral:tRNA from 1 species